rnacentral:lncRNA from 1 species
GGGUCUUCCAUCUGCUGGUUCACUCCCCAGAUGGCUGCAAAGCCUGGAGCUGGCUGAUCCUAAGUCAGGAGCCAGGAGCCUCACCUGGAUCUCCCAUUGAGUGCAGAGGCCCAAGCACUUGGGCCAUCUUCCACUACUCUCCCAGGUGCAGUAGCAGGAAGCUGGAUCAGAAGUGGAGCAGCCGGGACUUGAACCAAUGCCCAUAGGGAUGUUGGCACCACAGGCGGCGGUUUUACCUGCUGCGCCACAGAGCGGCCCUUCUGUUGGCAGCUUCAUAGUUAAUCCAUCCUCUCCCUGGCUCAAGAUCCUUAAUACGGCCCCAUCUUCACUUGUGGGUCUCUGCAUUUUCAGGCCCCUGGAUUAGGACGUGGGCAUCUUGGGCAAGCAAGCAAUUCAGCCCCUGACCCCACCUGUGGCCAUGGCUUUGUCAGAAGCACGCGCGCCGGGCAGUCCCUCGUCUCGGGACGUUGCGUGGCACCUCGGGGUUUGUGCAAAGUCAGCGUGGCCUGGAGCUGAAGCCGACAUCGGCUGCAGAGGGAGAAGCGAGAGCUGGAGCAGAAACCACGCUUCUGCUGAGGCCAGGGACAGAGAGCGCCCGGUCUGAGGGAAACUUCCUGGACUCGGGUCAGCCCCUCCUGGGGUUUCUGCUGCCACUGUAAGCCUGGAAGUCCCUGGGAGGCAGUGCCGUCGCCUUUGACAAAAUGAGACAAAACCAGGGGCCCGCGUGUGGCCCAGCAGAGUAAGCCACAGCUUGCGAGGCCGACAUUCUGUAUCAGAGCACCGGUUUGAGUUCCAGGUGCUCCAGUUCCAAUCCAGCUCUUUGCUUAUGUGCCUGGGAAAGCAGUGGAAGACGGCCCAAGUGCUUGGCCCUGUACCCAUGUGGGAGACCUGGAAGAAGCUCCUGGCUUCGGAUAGGCCCGCUCUAGCUGUUGUAGCCAUUUGGGGAGUGAACCAGCAGAUGGAGGACCUUUCUGUCUCUCCCUCUCUCUCUCUGUAACUCUGCUUUCCAAAUAAAUAAAACAUCUCCUAGGCA